rnacentral:rRNA from 1 species
GACGAACGCUUGCGGCGUGCCUAAUACAUGCAAGUAGAACGCUGAAGAGAGGAGCUUGCUCUUCUUGGAUGAGUUGCGAACGGGUGAGUAACGCGUAGGUAACCUGCCUUGUAGCGGGGGAUAACUAUUGGAAACGAUAGCUAAUACCGCAUAACAAUGGAUGACCCAUGUCAUUUAUUUGAAAGGGGCAAAUGCUCCACUACAAGAUGGACCUGCGUUGUAUUAGCUGGUAGGUGAGGUAACGGCUCACCUAGGCGACGAUACAUAGCCGACCUGAGAGGGUGAUCGGCCACACUGGGACUGAGACACGGCCCAGACUCCUACGGGAGGCAGCAGUAGGGAAUCUUCGGCAAUGGGGGCAACCCUGACCGAGCAACGCCGCGUGAGUGAAGAAGGUUUUCGGAUCGUAAAGCUCUGUUGUAAGUCAAGAACGAGUGUGAGAGUGGAAAGUUCACACUGUGACGGUAGCUUACCAGAAAGGGACGGCUAACUACGUGCCAGCAGCCGCGGUAAUACGUAGGUCCCGAGCGUUGUCCGGAUUUAUUGGGCGUAAAGCGAGCGCAGGCGGUUUGAUAAGUCUGAAGUUAAAGGCUGUGGCUCAACCAUAGUUCGCUUUGGAAACUGUCAAACUUGAGUGCAGAAGGGGAGAGUGGAAUUCCAUGUGUAGCGGUGAAAUGCGUAGAUAUAUGGAGGAACACCGGUGGCGAAAGCGGCUCUCUGGUCUGUAACUGACGCUGAGGCUCGAAAGCGUGGGGAGCGAACAGGAUUAGAUACCCUGGUAGUCCACGCCGUAAACGAUGAGUGCUAGGUGUUGGAUCCUUUCCGGGAUUCAGUGCCGCAGCUAACGCAUUAAGCACUCCGCCUGGGGAGUACGACCGCAAGGUUGAAACUCAAAGGAAUUGACGGGGGCCCGCACAAGCGGUGGAGCAUGUGGUUUAAUUCGAAGCAACGCGAAGAACCUUACCAGGUCUUGACAUCCCGAUGCUAUUUCUAGAGAUAGAAAGUUACUUCGGUACAUCGGUGACAGGUGGUGCAUGGUUGUCGUCAGCUCGUGUCGUGAGAUGUUGGGUUAAGUCCCGCAACGAGCGCAACCCCUAUUGUUAGUUGCCAUCAUUCAGUUGGGCACUCUAGCGAGACUGCCGGUAAUAAACCGGAGGAAGGUGGGGAUGACGUCAAAUCAUCAUGCCCCUUAUGACCUGGGCUACACACGUGCUACAAUGGUUGGUACAACGAGUUGCGAGUCGGUGACGGCAAGCUAAUCUCUUAAAGCCAAUCUCAGUUCGGAUUGUAGGCUGCAACUCGCCUACAUGAAGUCGGAAUCGCUAGUAAUCGCGGAUCAGCACGCCGCGGUGAAUACGUUCCCGGGCCU